UACGUAGGGCGCAAGCGUUGUCCGGAAUUAUUGGGCGUAAAGAGCUCGUAGGCGGCUUGUCACGUCGGGUGUGAAAGCCCGGGGCUUAACCCCGGGUCUGCAUCUGAUACGGGCAGGCUAGAGUGUGGUAGGGGAGAUCGGAAUUCCUGGUGUAGCGGUGAAAUGCGCAGAUAUCAGGAGGAACACCGGUGGCGAAGGCGGAUCUCUGGGCCAUUACUGACGCUGAGGAGCGAAAGCGUGGGGAGCGAACAGG
rnacentral:rRNA from 1 species